rnacentral:rRNA from 1 species
GAUGCAGCGACGCCGCGUGGGGGAUGACGGCCUUCGGGUUGUAAACCCCUUUCAGUAGGGAAGAAGCGAGAGUGACGGUACCUGCAGAAGAAGCGCCGGCUAACUACGUGCCAGCAGCCGCGGUAAUACGUAGGGCGCAAGCGUUGUCCGGAAUUAUUGGGCGUAAAGAGCUUGUAGGUGGCUUGUCGCGUCUGCCGUGAAAACCCGAGGCUCAACCUCGGGCGUGCGGUGGGUACGGGCAGGCUAGAGUGUGGUAGGGGAGACUGGAACUCCUGGUGUAGCGGUGAAAUGCGCAGAUAUCAGGAAGAACACCGAUGGCGAAGGCAGGUCUCUGGGCCAUUACUGACACUGAGAAGCGAAAGCAUGGGUAGCGAACAGGAUUAGAUACCCUGGUAGUCCAUGCCGUAAACGUUGGGCACUAGGUGUGGGGGACAUUCCACGUUUUCCGCGCCGUAGCUAACGCAUUAAGUGCCCCGCCUGGGGAGUACGGCCGCAAGGCUAAAACUCAAAGGAAUUGACGGGGGCCCGCACAAGCGGCGGAGCAUGCUGAUUAAUUCGAUGCAAC